CCUACGUGGGGCAGCAGUAGGGAAUCUUCCACAAUGGGCGAAAGCCUGAUGGAGCAACGCCGCGUGGGUGAAGAAGGUCUUCGGAUCGUAAAACCCUGUUGUUAGAGAAGAAAGUGCGUGAGAGUAACUGUUCACGUUUCGACGGUAUCUAACCAGAAAGCCACGGCUAACUACGUGCCAGCAGCCGCGGUAAUACGUAGGUGGCAAGCGUUCUCCGGAGUUAUUGGGCGUAAAGGGAACGCAGGCGGUCUUUUAAGUCUGAUGUGAAAGCCUUCGGCUUAACCGGAGUAGUGCAUUGGAAACUGGGAGACUUGAGUGCAGAAGAGGAGAGUGGAAGUCCAUGUGUAGCGGUGAAAUGCGUAGAUAGUGGGUAGAACGCCAGUGGCGAAGGCGACUAUCUGGCUGUACAUGGACGCUGAGGCUCGAAAGCAUGGGGAUCAAACAGGAUUAGAUACCCUAGUAGUG
rnacentral:rRNA from 1 species